CAGCUGUCAAACUUUUAUGCUAUCAAAUCUAUAACUCAACAAUUUUAGCUGGAGAUUAAGAAAACAGUGCGGUAUUUCUUUUGACAAGGAACAAUAAAAUGCUUCGCUGGGCGCAGCUUGAUACGACCACAGAGGUCGAACCCUGAACAGUUGGGGCAAGUAUGGACACAACAUUCAAGCUUGAUACAGCACUGAAUUUGGAUUGUAAUUAAAUAUUUGACACAGCAUAGGUUUCUCACACAGAAUUAAAGUGGUCGAAGAACUUAAAAAUUUUUAAUUUACCUAUUCAAACCAUAUCAUUAUUAUUUGCUUUUAUAUAUAAAUCAGAAAUAUCCAAUUUAAAAUGGAAAAUUUUAAAGAAAAAAAAGGAAAAAAAAAUCCCCCCCUCCAAAUUUUUUGAACCCCCUUAUGAUUCAUCACCCCAAACUCAAUCCCAGCUUUCCCUUUGUGGUAUGGUACCUUGCAGUACAAAUUCAUAAA